CGGGGUGCACCAGGCGCGAAAACUCUACAAUGCAGGCAACUGCGAUAGGGGAACUUCGAGUGAUACUCAUCUUGGGUGUCUGUCCUCCCGUCUAAAAAACGGGAGUUAGCAAGGGCCGGGCAAGACCGGUGCCAGCCGCCGCGGUAAUACCGGCGGCUCGAGUGGUGGCCGAUAUUAUUGAGUCUAAAGGGUCCGUAGCCGGCUUUGCAAGUCUUUUGGGAAAUCCAGCGGCUUAACCGUUGGUCGUCCGGGAGAUACUACAUUGCUUGGGACUGGGAGAGGUAGGAGGUACUCAGGGGGUAGGAGUGAAAUCCUGUAAUCCUUUGGGGACCACCGGUGGCGAAGGCGUCCUACCAGAACAGGUCCGACGGUGAGGGACGAAAGCUAGGGGCACGAACCGGAUUAGAUACCCGGGUAGUCCUAGCCGUAAACGAUGCUCGCUAGGUGUCACAACAAUCGUGAAUUGUUGUGGUGCCGUAGGGAAGCCGUGAAGCGAGCCACUUGGGAAGUACGACCGCAAGGUUGAAACUUAAAGGAAUUGGCGGGGGAGCACAAGGGCGAAUCG
rnacentral:rRNA from 1 species